UCCGUUUAUUUACGAAAUACUUAACUGUAAACAAAACACGUGCAUAUUAGCGGUGCGACUGCAUUACAUUCGUUUCAUUUGUUUUUUUUUAGUACGCGAGUGAAAAUCAUUUAUAUAAAAUUGUAUUUAAUUUUUAUAGAAUAAAGAUGCCCGUAAUAGACCCAAAUUCGUUGGUAAAUCUCCAAAAAGACAUCGAGCGUGUGCGUAAUAUCUGCAUUUUAGCACAUGUCGAUCACGGAAAAACCACACUAGCUGACUCACUUGUUGCUAGCAAUGGCAUAAUUUCUCAACGUAUGGCAGGAAAACUACGUUACCUGGACACGCGUCAAGAUGAGCAGGAACGUGGCAUUACCAUGAAGAGCAGCAGCAUAUCGUUGCAUUACCGUGGCAAUGCUGAAAAUGGCAGCGAACAAGAUUAUCUGGUUAAUCUCAUCGAUUCUCCUGGACAUGUUGACUUCUCGAGUGAAGUCUCCACAGCUGUGCGUUUGUGCGAUGGCGCCAUCGUUGUGGUUGAUGUAAUCGAAGGUGUUUGUCCGCAAACACGCUUAUGCUUAGAACAAGUUUACAAAGAGCAACUGAAGCCUGUUUUGGUUCUAAAUAAAAUUGACCGUCUCAUAAUGGAAAGGAAGCUUAAACCGUUAGAUGCCUAUUAUCACAUACGCCAAGUUUUAGAGGGAGUAAAUGCUGUACUCGGCAGUAUAUUUGCUUCGGAUGUGCUAGCAAAGGAAGAUAUUACUAAUAAGGACCACUAUGAGUCGGCGCUAGAAGAUGCAGACGAUUCAAAAUUAUAUUUCUCUCCAACUGAGGGAAAUGUUAUUUUUUGCUCUGCAUAUGACGGCUGGGCUUUCUCAGUGAGCGACUUUGCCAGAAUCUUUGCAGACCGUUUAGAAAUGUCGCAAAUAGACUUGGAACAAGUACUUUGGGGCGACUUUUAUUACAAUGUUAAAAAGAAACGUGCCUUUCUUGGUGCGCAGGAAAAAGCAAAGAAACCGAUAUUCGUACAGUGCAUACUAGAUAAUAUAUGGGGUCUCUACGAUGUUGUAGCAUUCCGUAAGGAUAUGGUAAAACUUCAAAGCGUCGCCGACACAUUAGGCAUUAGACUGCAAGCGCGUGAUUUGCGUAACACCGAUCACAAAGCUCAAAUAAAGGCUGUGCUCGGUCACUGGCUGCCCAUCGAUCGCACCGUCUUGGAGAUGGUGGUGCGACAUGUACCCGCACCAAAUGUAAUCUCCGAUGAGCGCGCCGAAAGGCUACUUUUUCAACAAAAUGCCAAGUUAGACAGUUAUCCACCGGAGACAUUAUUGCUAAAAGAAGAGUUCAAAAGAUGCGACAGCAAAAGUGAAAACAUCAUUGUAUUUGUUUCCAAGAUGGCACCUGUGCAUGUCUCACAACUGCCGCAAAAUAAGGAGAAGCACCUCACUGAAGAGGAACUGAGAGCGCGACGAGAAGAAGUGCGCCGACGCAUUGAAGCCCGUAAACAAGCGCAGGAAAAUGCGAAUUUAGAAAAUCUUACGGCUGGCGUACAACAAUUGAAUGUUGCAGAAACGUCCGUUGUGCCUUCAAGCAGCAGUGAAUGUCAAGAAGAGUCCAGACAAGAAGAACCAGAAAAGCCUGAUCACGUUUUUGUUGCAUUUGCCCGCAUCUUCAGUGGUACUCUACGACCGGGCAUGCGCUUGUACAACUUAGCACCUAAACAUGACCCUCGAAAUAAAGAUCAGUUAAAUUUGGACUCGCCUUACAUAAGCGAGGUGACGAUCGGAGAUCUGUACAUGUUUAUGGGCGGCGAAUUGCAAUCGCUGGACGAAGUGCCAGCUGGUAACAUUGUGGGCAUUGGCGGCCUGGAUCAGGAUAUCAUCAAGACAGCAACAUUGAGUAGCACCAUGAACUGCACAUCGUUCAGUGAACUCAACCUGAUGGCUACGCCUGUGUUGCGUGUGGCUAUUGAGCCAGUGAAUCCGCAAGACUUACCCAAACUUGUGAAGGGUCUUAAAUUGUUGAAUCAGGCUGAUGCAUGUGUGCAAGUAUCGAUGGCGCCCACCGGUGAGCAUGUUAUCACCACUCUGGGCGAAGUGCAUGUGGAGAAGUGUGUGCGCGACCUGGAAGAGAGCUAUGCCAAGAUAAAAAUCAAUGUCUCUGAACCUAUAGUGUCUUUCCGUGAGACCAUAGUACCUGAAGCUACAAUGGAUAUGGUUAAUAUGGCUAUAGUAAAGACGGCCAGCGAUAAAGACAUAACUAAAAAGAUUAUCACACAGCAAACAGCCAACAAGUUGGGCACACUACGCAUUAUAGCGUUGCCGCUGCCUGAAUCUACUGCUACUGUGCUAGAAACAUACCACAGCUUCAUUAAAGAGUUGACAGCAAAUAGCAAAGGCGUUGCAGUUUCUGAAAAAUACGUCGCACUUAUAGCUCAGCUAAGAGGGCAAAUUUGUAACACUUUGCGUGAAUUAGAACUUAAGGGUCUGUCAGAGCUAAUGCCGAGCAAGUUGGUGGAUCGUAUCUGGGCACUCGGUCCGCACAAUUGCGGUACUAAUAUUCUCCUUAAUUUGAGCGACUAUGAGCAACCGAAUUUUUGGCAGUCGUUGAUGAACCAAACGGAUAAUGAUGCCGCUACUAAAGUGGCGAGUGACGUGCGCAGAGAUUAUAAUAGCUCAUUUGUUAAUGGCUUUCAGUUGGCGACCGCUGCUGGGCCACUUUGCGAAGAGCCGAUGCAAGGCGUCGCUUUUGUGGUGCUCGAGUGGUCGGUCGAGGAGGGAGACGACUUGAAUUCCAAGUCUUUUGGUCCAUUUUCUGGCCAAGUGCUGACUGCAGUGAAGGAAUCUUGUCGCAUGGCAUUCCAGGCGCAACCGCAACGUUUGGUCAGCCCUAUGUUCAGUUCUACAAUUGUGGUAAAUGCAGAAGUUUUAGGUGACGAUAUACAGUUCAAAAACGGAAGAAAUCGGAUAAUAACCACGCCUACCUCCCAUACAAAGGUUGUGUUGAAAAUCACUAAAAGUGCGUUAACCGACUAACAAAAAACGUCAAAAACACUAAAUUUUACGGAAGAAAUGGCAGAAGGAAGCUGACCUCAGGCUGUUUUUAAAAAUUGAAAAUGGGCGUGGCGUCGCCCACUUUUGGACCAAAAACCAUAUCUCAGGAACUACUCAACCGAUUUCAAUGAAAUUCGGUAUAUAAUAUUUUCUUAACACCCUGAUGACAUGUACGAAAUAUGGGUGAAAUCGGUUCACAACCACGCCUUCUUCCAAUAUAACGCUAUUUUGAAUUCCAUCUGAUGCUUUCUCUGUAUAAUACGAGGAUAUACAUUAGGAACCAAUGAUGAUAGCGGAAUAAAACUUUACACAAAUACGGAAAAAUGUACGCUGUAAUUGGUCGGCGUCAUGGCAAGAUUCUUUCUGGCGAUUCGAUCCAAGGCAGUGGCAACUUUUCUGUAUUGGCCAU